AGUGGCGAACGGGUGAGUAAUACGUGAGUAACCUGCCCUUGACUCUGGGAUAAGCCUGGGAAACUGGGUCCUAAUACUGGAUACGACAUGUCACCGCAUGGUGGUGUGUGGAAAGGGUUUUACUGGUUUUGGAUGGGCUCACGGCCUAUCAGCUUGUUGGUGGGGUAAUGGCUCACCAAGGCGACGACGGGUAGCCGGCCUGAGAGGGUGACCGGCCACACUGGGACUGAGACACGGCCCAGACUCCUACGGGAGGCAGCAGUGGGGAAUAUUGCACAAUGGGCGGAAGCCUGAUGCAGCGACGCCGCGUGAGGGAUGACGGCCUUCGGGUUGUAAACCUCUUUCAGCACGGAAGAACGAAAGUGACGGUACGUGCAAAAAG
rnacentral:rRNA from 1 species